rnacentral:rRNA from 1 species
UACGAAGGUGGCAAGCGUUACUCGGAAUUACUAGGCGUAAAGGGCAGGUAGGUGGUUUGAUAAGUCUGUUGUGUAAGCUCCCGGCUUAACUGGGAGAGGUCAACAGAAACUAUCAGGCUUGAGUAUAGGAGAGGGUACUGGAAUUCCCGGUGUAGCGGUGAAAUGCGCAGAGAUCGGGAGGAACACCAAUGGCGAAAGCAGGUACCUGGACUAUUACUGACACUCAGCUGCGAAAGCUAGGGGAGCAAAC